rnacentral:snRNA from 1 species
GUGCUCACUUCGACCACACGUAUACUAAAAUUGGAACAAUACAGAGAAGACAAGCAUGGCUCCUGAGCAAGGAUGAUACGCAAAUUCGUGAAGUGUCCCAUAUUUUU